UAUAUAAUACAUAUAAUAUAUAUUAUAAUUAAGAUAUUCAUUCAGGUGAUUAUGAUUAUCAUGUUUAGAUACUGCAAAAAAUUCUCAAUCCAUCAAAAACUGACCCAGGACCUUCCUCUGCUCAGAGUUUUUUCAAGGACUUGGUGGCUUCUAAAAAAUCCUUAAAUUAAAUCACAAAACAGAGUCUAAAUAUUUUCAACACCGAGUGACGAAUGAAAAACCAUUUUUCAAAUUCUAUUUACAGCAUCAAAAGCCAGCUCAGUGAUGGCAGAGCUCCCACCCUGCUGCUCUGCUCCCAGGUGCACCCAUCCCCUCAAUUAUUUCCAUUUCUUGGGAAUUCAGGCCUCCUUGGAAUCUGCAAUCCCCAGGAUGGUUUGAUGUCUGCUUUUGCUCCAAAAAUGAUGCCACAGGAAGUCCGUGGCUUGUGGAACUGACUGAUUUUAUUUUUAUUUUUGGAUGUAUAUUUCUGUUUUUCAGCUGCGUCACCCCGUUGGUUUUCAUGGAUCCCGGUGACAGAAAUUGUCCCUGUCACCUUUUUAUUGAGGGGAGGAACAUCCAACCCCUUCUGCAGGAAAGCCCCUCCCUGCUGCUCUCAGAAAUUCUCAUUUCCUCCACUUCAAAGAACAGUGAGAAAACUGCUCAUCUUCACCCCAAACCACACAAUCCUUCAGCUUCAAGGCCACAGGGCCCUCAAAUAUUGGAUUUUUUUUUUGCUAAACUGGAAGAUUUUCUGGCAGAAAUCAGAGCCAGCACCUUUUGUUUUUCUUGCAAAAUGUGAUGAGGCCUGUAAUUACUGUGUGGGGGAAAAAAAAAGGAAAAUAAAAUCCCCAGACAGCCCUUUCUUCUUUCAAAGCUGAAUUUUGGGGGGAUUAAGCUGCUGGAUCAGGUGUAGAUUUUUAUUUUUGGGGGUGUCCAAGUGAGGGUUUGGCUUUAGCAUCCCCAGAGCUGCACAAAUCCCUCAGGCUGUGCCUAAAUCUGGGAGUGCAGCAGGGAUUGAUCCCAAAUCCCAGGUGGAUCCCUGAUCCCUGCAGCAGCAUCCACGCUCAGCUCGGUUAUUAACAGAGUUAAUAACUCAAUAAAUUCAUUUAAAGGGGGUUUUGGAGUUCCCCCAAGUCCUGGAAGAGCAGAACAGACAUUUCCAGCAAAGAGCAGAGGAAGUUUUGCAAGAGAGGCUUUGCCACAGCUCUGAGCAGAUGAAUUCCAGAAAAUCCUUGAGCAAUUUCUUUCCAGAACAAGGAAACCACGAGGCAGAGGAACCUCCUGGAUCCUGAGUUCUUUCCUUUGACUCUACAACAAAAAAAAAAAUGAGGAUUAUCCAGCUUGGAGUCGAGGAAAUUUGUUCCUGGUGAAAUUUGUCCCUGGGUAUCCCCUGGCAGGGAUUCCCCUGCUCCCGGAGAAUUCCCCACAUCCCUUUUCCUCACCUGGCUGAUUCCACAGCCAGGAGGAAUUUUGGGAUGGAAUUUGGAGCAAUUUUGGGAUCCAUGGAGCAAUUUUGGGAUCCAUGGAAGAGGCCCCAUUUCCACUGGGAAUUCUUUCACCAGCUUCUCAGUUCCAUGCUCCCUCAAUCCCAUGGAAGCAGCUCUUCUUUGCCUUUUCCAAGGAGCUGUGGUUUUCCAGCCAGCUCCUGGUUUAUUUUUAAAUGCUUUCUGCAGAGUUCUUACAGCCAAAAAAAAAAAAAAAAAAGAAAAGUUGCCUGAGGAGCUUGAGCCAGGAUUUGGUGCCUGAGAGAAGGGUGAGGAGUGAAUCCCCUCAAACAAAUCCACUCCAGGGGGUGGACUUGGAGCAAGUCACUCAUUUGGAGCAGGCUCCUGGGGCUGGGAGGUGAGAAGGGAAUGAGGCUGGGGGUUUUCAAGGGAAUCAGGAUCCUUUUCACUCACUCAGAUUAUUCAGCAGCCCUUGGAGCAUUAGAUGGGGACUGGAGCUGGCAGGAGCAGCUUGGAAUGUGGAGUUUAUUUGGACAGGCUGGGAUGUAAAACAGGCUCUGGAAUUGUCUGCUGGGCACUGGAUCCCUGCUGGAUCCUCCUCCCUUGGGAGUGUUCAGGAAAAUUGGGAAUGAAAAUUCAGUGAGCAGGGGAUGCCUUGGGGGUUGUGAUCCUCCUGCCAGGCUGGGAGAGCAUCCCAGGGGAUCUGAGCUAACCCAGGUCUGCUCAGUGGGCAGCCAGGCUCUGAAAAUGUUGGGAUUCCUGUUCCAAGUUGGUGUUUCCUUCACUCCAGGAGGGAUUUGUGCAGGACUGAGGUGAAGCUCCACAAACUUGAGCAGAGCAGGGCUGGUGCCAGGUGAUUCUGCUUCCCAUGGAUGCUAAAAUCACCCCCAGCAUCAAAAAUCAGACAUAAAAUCAUCCUGAGGCUGAGGCAGAAGUGGUGGCAGCACCAGGCAAGGCUGGCACUGGAGCAAACUCCCAAUUUCCCACAUGGGAAUGGGGUUUCCAUUUUGGCUCUGAGGUCCCUCAGCCUUGGUGGAAUUGAUUUUAGAACAUCAACCCGAGGAUUUGUGCAAGAAAUAAAUUUUUUUUUAGUGGUUUAAG